rnacentral:lncRNA from 1 species
GAGUAGCUUAUUUUCAUGCAAAUCUAUGCAGGCAUGGUAAUGAGGUUGCCCCUGCUUAUCGGGCACCUAGCGUCUACCAGAUGGAUCACACAGGACUUCUCUCCCUGAGCUUGCUUCAGUCUCCUCUGGGAUAAGACGAAGCUGAGAGAUUAAAGCAGAUGAAUUAAGUCCCUGUGGUUCAGGGCAGUAGAUGGAAUGGUGAUGUGUAAGAGAGAGUGUGAGGUGGUGAACACCAGCAGCACCAGUGCCCAGGCUUGGGAACAGGUUAGCCCAAAGUCUCCGAGGCAGCUAAACUUGUAGCGGGGACAGAACGCCAGCAGAUGCGGGGUCUGAGGCGGAGAGAGAAGCAGAGUUGGAAGAGAGGAAUGCAUCUUUGCAGAAGUGUGUUUGAUUUAUCAGCCCAGACACAUCAGAACUUGGCCUUCUCUUUAAUGUCAAGAAUUCUACCUCUUGCCCAUGGCCACCUAUAAUGCAGAUUUAUAUCUCCUCACUUAGGAAUGCUUGGAGCCAGACUCCCCACUCCCUCCUCUCAGUCUGUAGCCAUUGUGGAUUCUUUUGAAUCAUCUUAACCUUGAGAAAUAGUCCAUACAUUUGGAAGGAGUGCCUAUCUCUCAUGCAAAGCAACCUGGCAGACUCUCUUAGAUUUUUUUUUUCCAGAGAAGUAUGUGCUGGUCUCCUCGCAUGCCGGAGCCAAUUUCUCUAAAAAUAGCUUUCUUCCAGAAAACCUACAGUGAAAGGGUUUGCUGUAGAUUUUCCUCGAAACUCGGCUCCCAUCAAGGGCACUGUUCACGUAGCCCCCUGGUCUUUCUCUGAGCAGGCUCCAGCCUCCAGCCAGGAAAGAUUCAGGGAAGAAUCAGAGGCCCACACACUUCCAUUCUUGGUCUGCAGACUCCCUCCUGUGCCUUCAAAAGCUCUCGAGGGAGCAUCAGUAUGAAGAAUACCUUCUGAGUCCCAGCUCUGUCUUUCCCACAUGUCCUCUGAAUCCCGGUGUGAUGUUCUCCAGCAUCCUGUGUUCUUUGGAAGGAAGCCUGACUUGAAGGGGAAAGACUAGAGAUACAGGCUUCAGCAUGGAUCUGUAAGGGAAUGUUUGGGAGGAACACACAGCCCCAGUAUCAACCUCAUUGCCAGCUGACAUGAGGGGACACUGGCUUAGCUAGACUUGAAGCUUACACAAGUUGUUUAAUUAAAAAACAAUGGCCAACCAACCAAACCAACAGCCAGAACACUGUAGAAAUCAGGCAUCUUGGACACGUUAGCGUUUAAGAGCGCCGGAUUUCUAAGGCACUGGCCUGAGUGGGGUGCAGUUAGGGUAAGGAGUGGGCAAAAUGAAGAAACUGGUCAGGACAGAAGAUGGUCCACAGCCUUGGCGCCAACAGCCUUGCACAUGCAUCCUGCUUUUGUCUCUUUCUUCAGGAACAAUUCUUUUCUUUUCCUUUCUUUUCUUUCCUUUUCUUUUCUUUCUUUAAAAAAAAAAAGAUUUAUUUAUUUUAUGUAUAUGAGUAUGCCAUUGCUCUCUUCAGACACACCAGAAGAGGGCAUCAGAUCCCAUUACAGAUGGUUGUGAGCCACCAUGUGGUUGCUGGGAAUUGAACUCAGGACCUCUGGAAGAGCAGUCGGUGCUUUUAACCGCUGAGCCGUCUCUCCAGCCCUUCAGGCACAUUUCUUAACAUCUCCUGUCUGAUUGAGGAAUCGCUGGUAAGUGCAGGUUAUCAUACCUACCUAGAGACUUCCCAUGAGGAUUAAGGGGUAUAAUAUAGAAGAUUAGCACAGCGUUUGGAAGUUACUAAAAGUAGAAUAUGAAAAGCAAAGCCCUACGAUAAUAGGGUUUAGUCUCAAAUUCCUACACUGUUCAUUUUUCCUUAAGAUUAAAAAGCAUCCUCCGUGGCAUCUGCACACAUGCAUCUCAUAAGAAGAGCGCGUCUGGCACUGUGCCUGCUCCUCCCUCUGAGGUCCAUAGGCAAUGCCAGGUGUUCUGCAGACAGCCCAUUAGAGAUGGCAUAUGUCAGAUUUGCCCGCAUUCUUCAUCUUUGCUGUGGACCAAACAUGAAUUAAUGCAGGAGACCACACCCCACCACUAAGAGCAAAAGUAAAGAGUGGGAGCUACAAAGCUGGGCCCAGAGUCCACCUUGAACGGGCUUAUCUUCAGCCCUGAUCCAGGCAUAGUCAAGCAUCAAGAGUGAGAUUCUACAAGUAGGUAUCUCAGGAUAACCUGGGAAACAAAUAAACAUGGGCUUGCCUUCCUUCUCCCAGAUCUGAUGUCCUAACAAGAGUUCCCAAGUCAACAUGCUCAGACAUGACUCAAUCCAUAAAGUGACCACUGCUCACACAAGCCCUAUAGAAAGUAGAGCAUGGAUCUAUGUGCCUAUACCCCCCAGCCUUGGGGAGGAGCCAAACAUGCAGACCCCUGGAGCUCAUAGGCCAGCCAACCUAGCUGAGUUUGUGAGCUUUAGGUUCAAUGAGGGACCCUGAUUCAAAAAAUAAAGGUGGGGCUUGAUGGAGGGGGAUAUCCAACAUUAACCUCCAAAUGCAUGUACACGCAUAACAUGUGCACAUGAGUAUUCAAAAAGUUAUUGAACGGGGGUGGGGAGACUAGGAGCAGUGACAAUUAAGACACUCUUUAGCUAUCAAGGACCGAGAGAAUAAAGGUAGUUUCCCAACCCUGAGAUAGGAGUGCCUAGAGUUAAGGAGCCAGGAACUUGGGUCACAGCAGUCUGGCUUCCAUUCAUUAGCUAUUGAUCUUAAACAAAACGACUUCCAGGACUUUAACACAGUAUAACAGCACUGCUUGCUCCAUGGCACUGUAGAUGGGGAAAGGUGAACCAGUAUAUAUGAAGGGCACCCUGUCUGACAUUCAAAAGUUCUUGAUAAAAUGCUAGAUGUUCAUCCUGUUGCCAGUACCAUCAGCCUCUCAGCAUGGCUUCAGCAUGCCCUUCCCAGGGUGACUUUAUAGGCACACCCCCAUACCGCAUAUACCCCUGUACUCUCUCUGCCCUCAUGAUGACUUAUGGAUUGCCAGACGUAUAUCGUGUCCAGUCACAUGUUUGCAAAUGACAUAUCGUUAGGGGAGCACCUGAGCAACCAGGGCAAAUCAAUACGGUACGCAGGGGGCUGAAAUCCCCAUCAGAUGUUCCCUGUCUUUCUGCUGGCGCAGGAGGAUGUUCAGAUGUUUGAUUUGUAUGUUUGUUUUUAUGCUGGCUCUAUUAAAUCUGUUUGCAGCCUGAAGAAUGUUUGCUAGACAAAGCAAGACACAUGUGCCAGUUCUGAGAACCCCGAAACAGCUGUUGGCUUCAGACAUUUCCUGAGAUGUGACAGGUUUUGCUAAUGCUGAGGCUUCUUUUGUUCUUUACAAUGAAGCCAUUUCACCGGGAGGCUCGAUCGUUGUCUCCUUGUUCCGAGCUACAGGACUAGUGAUGUGCUCACCCUCUUCAAGGUCCUUGCUCUGUGCGAUAGUGGGGCCAUGUGCGUCCAUAUGUACCAUGUGUGUCCUCCUGCUCCCCUGACAGGAGGGCCAUUUUUCCUGACAGUGAAUAAGGAGAGCAAAUGGUUCAGUAAAACCUAGUGGUUGAGUCAGGGCUUUGGAACCAGAUGAAUGUGGACCGAAACCCCUGUUCUAGCCUCUCCUAACUAUGGACUAGUGUCUUUGCCUCUCUGAGCUUCAGUUCUUCCUUGUUUAGGGAUAGGGCUUGGCGUGGUGGUACACACCUAUAAUCCUACCAUAUGAAAGGCUAUAGCAAGGUGAGUGUAAGUCCUAGUCCUGCCUGGGCUACAUAAGGAGAUUGUGU